rnacentral:rRNA from 1 species
CCUACGGGUGGCUGCAGUGAGGAAUAUUGGUCAAUGGACGAGAGUCUGAACCAGCCAAGUAGCGUGAAGGAUGACUGCCCUAUGGGUUGUAAACUUCUUUUAUAUGGGAAUAAAACAGGGUAUGCAUACCCUCUUGUAUGUACCAUAUGAAUAAGGAUCGGCUAACUCCGUGCCAGUAGCCGCGGUAAUACGGAGGAUCCGAGCGUUAUCCGGAUUUAUUGGGUUAAAAGGGAGCGUAGGUGGAUUGUUAAGUCAGUUGUGAAAGUUUGCGGCUAAACCGUAAAAUUGCAGUUGAAACUGGCAGUCGUGAGUACAGUAGAGGUGGGCGGAAUUCGUGGUGUAGCGGUGAAAUGCUUAGAUAUCACGAAGAACUCCGAUUGCGAAGGCAGUUCACUGGACUGAAACUGACACUGAUGCUCGAAAGUGUGGGUAUCAAACAGGAUUAGAUACCCCGUAGUC